UAGGGAAUCUUCCGCAAUGGACGCAAGUCUGACGGAGCAACGCCGCGUGAGUGAAGAAGGAUUUCGGUUCGUAAAACUCUGUUGUUAGAGAAGAACAGCGCAUAGAGUAACUGUUAUGCGUGUGACGGUAUCUAACCAGAAAGCCACGGCUAACUACGUGCCAGCAGCCGCGGUAAUACGUAGGUGGCAAGCGUUGUCCGGAUUUAUUGGGCGUAAAGCGAGCGCAGGCGGUCAAUUAAGUCUGAUGUGAAAGCCCCCGGCUCAACCGGGGAGGGUCAUUGGAAACUGGUGGACUUGAGUGCAGAAGAGGAGAGUGGAAUUCCAUGUGUAGCGGUGAAAUGCGUAGAUAUAUGGGGGAACACCAGUGGCGAAGGCGACUCUCUGGUCUGUAACUGACGCUGAGGCUCGAAAGCGUGGGGAGCGAACAGG
rnacentral:rRNA from 1 species